AGAGGACAGAGGACACACAGUUUAACAUGAUGGACUAUAGGACAGGACUGCUGCUGCUCACUGUCUGCUGGGCAGGUGUUGAUGGUCAGACUCUGACAGAAUCUGAACCAGUGACUAAAAGGCCUGGAGAAUCUCACAGAUUGACCUGUACAGCCUCUGGAUUCACAUUCAGUAGCUCCUGGAUGGCCUGGGUCAGACAGGCUCCUGGGAAAGGACUGGAGUGGGUUGCUACUAUGCACCCUACUAGCAGUGCCCACAUCUACUACUCUGAGUCAGUGAAAGGCCGGUUCACCAUCUCCAGAGACAACAGCAGACAGCAGGUGUAUCUGCAGAUGAACAGUCUGACGGCUGUAGACUCUGCUGUUUAUUACUGUGCUCGACACACAGUGACUGAAGCUGGUUGAGCAGCUGUACAAAAA